ensembl:lncRNA novel transcript
GGGAGAGUUCUGGAUGACUUCUCUGAACAGCAUGGGGUCAAGGAUGACUGCCAAGACAUCAGAUGUCAUCACACCUGCCUUUCUCCUGGAUGUCUUUUCUUAUCAUUACAGUUGAAAUGCAAGAGAAACCCUAAAAGAAAUGUGAAGCUGAGAAGGACACAGCUCUCUGACCAUGACCACAGGAAGUGUGAUAGGACAGAAAUACAAUGGCUGUCAAAGAAGAAAACUCUACAUUACUGUCACCUAGAAAGAUAAACUCUACAGUUGGAAAUUCUGUCCAAUUUCUUCCAUGUGGCAGAUGCUGUGAUGAGCCACCGAGAUCCUCCUUCAGGAAGGAAGACUUAUUCCUCCAGAUGCUAAGAGUGCUACUGGAGGAUGGCUCUCAGCUGUGAGCCCUCAGCUGAAGACAGUUGUCUCACCUUGAUCAGGCCUCCUUCCAGAAGUAGCCUGCCUUUGAUGACAAACUGAUUGGGCUGAGGGGAACACUAUAAAGGCCAGUUCUCAGUCCCUAUUUGAUAUGACUCUCAAGAUUAAAGCUAGUGCAGUGCUCCCCAUGGGGACAGGGGAAGGCUUCUUUGGGACUGGUUUGCAGAUCACAUUCCCCAUCUGCCCAGCUCUGCUUCUCCCCCAACCCCUCCAUGGUCCAGGAGCUCUCCCAAAUAAAUGAUCUGCCGACUAACCUCAGUCCAGUUAGCUUUCUGGAAAGCCCAACCUGCAACAUUUACUUAUAAAAAAGUAAAAUUGUUGGGUUUUGGAUGAGAUCCAUUACAUCUGAUUAUUAAUUUGGCAGGAAUCAACAUUUUUACUAUAAUAUAUUGUCUUCCCACUGUAUAUUUUUCUAUCUGUUUCAUUUUUUCUUAUAAUCUCAAAAACAGUUUGAAGUAUUCUUCACAUAGGAUCUGGAGUUUCUUUUUAAGACUAUUCCCAAGUAUUUUUCAUUUGGCAUUGAUAUUAUUAGUGAGAUCUAGUACUUUUUCCUCCCUAUGGUGCAAAAUAAAUUUACAAUCCCAGACUAUCUUGUAGAAGAAAUUACAUUAUUUUGUGUGGCUUCAAAGUCCAGAAGUGGGAUGAUGGAAACAAAUUACACAAAGACACCUUUUAGUUCACUAUAUGCACAACAUUUCCAAGAACUAGGGUGGUCCACUUACUCCAUCUCUGAGGAAGACAUGAAAAAGACUACCUUCAGGGAUUGAGAGUCCCAUGACCAUGGAAGCACAUAAGAAGGAAUCAAAUAAUUAUUUCAGAGAUGUGAUAGACUAGACUCAUGUGUAUACUUGGACUAGAUAAUCUGAAUCCAAGAUUCAGCAACCAGGCUGCUUGAGGAAGCCUGACUUUACAUCAUCCACAUUUCUCCCUCUCUGUUCUACUGGACAGAGCCUUACAAACCACCCUUCCUGUUCUUCUGGCUCUGAAUCAUGUUUUUAUCUGAGGUCUUGCUAAAGCAAGAAGAAUAUGUUUAAGAGUUAUCUUAUCACAGAAACAUAUCUAAGUAGAGAAGUAGGAUUGAUUCAAGAAAUCUGUGACUACUUGAAAUGUGAAUUAAGCUUCAUCACUAGCUAUGAGGACCUGGAGUGAACUCAUAAAACAAAAACCAGAGAAAUAUAGUCUACAGAAAACAGGAACUGAAGAAUAUACUCAUAAUUUAAAGCAGGAAUUGGCAGAUGGCAGCCCAAAGACCCAAUCCAUUUCACCACCUGUUUUUUAAAUAAAGUUUUAUUGGAACACAGUUACACUCAUUCAUUUACAUGUUAUCUACAGCUGCUUUUGUGUUACAGGUAGAGUGGAAUAGUUGUCAGAGACGCCAUAUGUCCUGCAAAAUGUUGCCAACUCAUUGCUUGGAAGCAAAGUAACCUAAAUAAUCCAGUGGUUAAGACAUGAACUUUAGAGUCAGACUAAGCUUUGAAUUUUGAUUCUAUUAUUUUGUCAUUGUAUGACCUUAAGCAAUAAACAUGUCAUUUUCAA